GCGGAUUGUCCAUUUUUGAUCUCAGAAAAUAAAAAGUUAGGAUGCUCUCUAGGUUUACUCUUUUUACAUUCCAGAUUUAACUCUUCUGGAACUGCUAAUCAAAUCUGUAUUAUUUUUGAAGGCAAUUCCUAGGACAGGCCAAGCCAACCUCUGCAGAAAAGGAGGAGGAAAAAUUGGACUUCUACAGGUUAAUAAUAGGAAGAAUCUGGACUAUGUGGAACUUCAACGUGCCUUCAUUUUGGGCCUAGGACAAUUCAUCGUGGCCAACUGGCUACAAGACAACUCACUGCAGGACAAGAGGUGAAAUAUGCAAACGAGGAAAAUUGACAAACUGGCCACUGGAUUCCUCCCAGGCAAACUUUUAUCAGAAGGCACUAAGAAAAGAAAGAAUUCUUGCACAGAAAAAGAAUGGCUCCAUCUUCAGAGGCAGAUGUUCUCCAGAUAAGCAGAAAGCUUCAGAACAAAGCUUCCUCUAAAUAAUAAUAAUUAAAAAAGGU